rnacentral:lncRNA from 1 species
AAAUCACUCGUAGCAGAGGAGCGCCUUUGCAGAGAUGAGCAGAUGGUGCCCUUCAAAGGGCGCCUUGACAUAAAACAGUAUGUCAAAGGAAAGCCGCACCCAUGGGGCAUCAAAAUAUUUAUGCUCUGCGGCGAAUCUGGCCUUGUAUAUGACUUUCUACCCUAUCAGGGGUCUACAACAAAGAUCGAAGACCACGUAAAACAGCGCUAUGGUGUUACAGGCGCAAUAGUUUUGCAUUUAUCUGACAGAAUUCCAUCUGGUGUGGGACACAAACUUUUUUUCGACAACUAUUUCACGUCCCUGCCACUGCUCCGUGAAAUGUUGCGUAAAACAUAUUUGCUGCCGGCACUGUAAGAUCGAACAGGUGUGAAAAGUGCCCUUUGAAGACUGAAAAGGAAAUGAAAAAAAGUGGCCGCGGUUCUUCAGAGUGCGUUGUGAGCGCUGAUGGAAAUAUAGCGAUAACAAGGUGGAUGGACAAUAGGAUUGUGACCCUUGCAUCCAAUUUUAUUGCUAUUGAGGAGGAAGACAGCGUUCGUCGUUGGAACAAGGCGGAAAAGCGUUUUGUAGACGUGAAGCGACCAGCUGUCAUUAACGAUUACAACCGCAGCAUGGGUGGGGUCGAUAAAGUAGACUUCCGGAUUUCUCUUUAUCGAACUACCAUUCACUCGCGAAAGUGGACCUUGAGAAUAAUGACGUUUCAUUUUAUGAACCUCGCAGUGGUCAACGCUUGGCUUGAAUACAGGCGUGACGCAGACAAACAGAGCAUCCCUAAGCAGCUUGAUCUCCUUGACUUCACUCUAAGAGGAAAGGCAUUCACUCUCACCAUUGCAGGCUUCAAAGCACCCAAGAAUGGCAGAAAACAGACCUGUCCAGGAUGUAAGGUUUGAUCAGCUGGGACAUUUCCCACUUCACGAUGACACGAGGGAAAGAAGGUGCAAGAUGGAAGGCUGCACAGGAAGAACCCGCAUAAUGUGCGAGAAAUGCAAGGUUCACUUGUGCCUAAUAAAGUCGCGAAAUUGCUUCAGGGCUUUCCAUAUGCGUGUAUAACAUCUCUUUGAUCACUUUGACGAUGUUGAAUUGCCCUAUGUCCUUUUGAAUAAAGCUGUCACAUAUUUCACUUUGCAA